rnacentral:rRNA from 1 species
UACGUAGGGUGCAAGCGUUAUCCGGAAUUAUUGGGCGUAAAGAGCUCGUAGGCGGUCUGUCGCGUCGGCUGUGAAAACUCGGGGCUCAACCCCGAGCCUGCAGUCGAUACGGGCAGACUAGAGUGCUGUAGGGGAGACUGGAAGUUCCUGGUGUAGCGGUGAAAUGCGCAGAUAUCAGGAGGAACACCGGUGGCGAAGGCGGGUCUCUGGGCCGUAACUGACGCUGAGGAGCGAAAGCGUGGGGAGCGAACAGG